CGGGACCCCCGCCGUCCACGCUCGCCGCUGCCGCCGCGCAGCUGGAGGAUCUCCUCUCGGAGCUGGGAGGAAGGGGACGCGGGGGCCGGGGGCGCCACACCCCCUCAGGGAGCCGCCGGGUGAAUAACGGACUUCGGACGGGCGGCCCCUUCCCCAUCCCCUCGCCCUUUCUGGGUCCUGCGGGUUGAAAGGCCUGGGGACUGGAGGUGGUAGAGGACUGAGCGAGCUGUGGACACUCCAGGGAGGACAGAAGAUGGAAGUCCUGUCCCUGGCAUGCACUGUUCGGCGCCUCCACAUCUUCGUGACCCUCCUGUAACCCUCGAGGUAGGUGGCGUCAGGCCACCGAGGGCACAGAGGCGAAGCAGUACAGCCAAGGUCACCAGCAGGGGACUAGGAGAUGGGCAGUGAACGCACCCCUCAGCGGCGCGACUGGGCCAGGCAGGCGUAGCUGCGGAGACGAGGGCCGGUGGAAAAAUCCCAAAGGACCCAGAGAGAACUCAGGCUGGGACUGUCUCCACUCCAGGACUCCUCCCUGCUAGUCUCUGGUGCCUGAAGCCCAGAUGGAAAGAGAUCUGUGCACAUAGGUUCCCACCCGGCUCCCCUAACCCGGAGGGUUUGGUAGGGCUUAGGGCUGCUGCGCCAGCAGGACCUGCCCGCAGGGCGCUCAGAGGCUGGACAGGGAGAUCGGAGGCCGGUGCAGCCUGCUUGAGCUGACCAGACACGGAGAAGGGAGGCCCGAGGCGACAGUCAGACAGCUCCUCUUAUCUGGACCCUUCAGGAAAGCGUUGCGGGUGGGGGGUUGGGGGCAGGGCCAAGGCCAAAUCGAUUUUCUUUAGGAUUUUCAGUGAAUUAAUGAUAGAGUGGUAUGGACAGAGAGGAAUCUGAAAGCCAAGGAGCAGCAGAAGCCUCUGGGGCCUCGAUAAAAAUAGAUAUUUGCCCUGGAACUCAGCAUCAUCAAUAAGUGCCAUAAAGCAUCCCUCCCCUUCAAACAAGGCAAACGUAUUUCAACUGAAAAUGGCACCAUUGGGUGGAAGCUGCACCUAGAGUCCUCUGCCUUCUUCUGCUGCCGGAAGGAGCAGAAGCAAACUGGAAGCCUCUUGCAUUUUCACGUCUCCUUGCCUCCUCCUGUACCAGAUGAACAUCUACUCAUCUUUCUGGACUGAGCUCAGAUGUCACCUUCUGAAGAGACCCUUCCUAACUACUGCUUUUCCCUCUUCCCCAGUCCCCAUUAGAAGUUGGCAGCCCAGUCCUUGCAGCUCCAGCUGCUCUGUGCACACUGUGGCCCAACACCCGUGAGUCUUCACGGGGUUCCCUGAUGACUAAGAGUCUCUUCUGUAAUCUCAGCUUCUGUGGGAUAGGCAUGGUGUUCCAUUCUGCAUGCUGUUCGUCACAUAAUAGGCCCUCCAGAAAUACUGCUGAAUGAAUAAAUGCAUCUAAUAGUCUGAUAAUUUUAUCUGUAUGAUUGGUGAAAAUAUUAAUCUUCUGGUGUUGUGACUUGUAUAUGAACCUUUCUGUUUCAUGAUGGCAAUAUGCCCUGCCAUACUUUAAAAAAAUUAUUAUAGCCAUGCCGUUUGUUUUUUGUUUUGUUUUUGAGACGGAGUUUCACUCUGGUUGGCCAGGCUGGAGUGCAAUGGCACAAUCUUGGCUCACCACAACCUCCGCCUCCUAGGUUCAAGCUAUUCUCCAGCCUCAGCCUCCCAAGUAGCUGGGAUUACAGGCGUGUGCCACCAUGCCUGGCUAAUUUUUUUUGUAUUUUUAGUAGAGACAGGGUUUCACCAUGUUGGUCAGGCCGGUUCCGAACUCCUGACCUCAGGUGAUCCACCCACCUCGGCCUCCCAAAGUGCUGGGAUGACAGGCGUGAGCCACCGUGCCCAGCCAGCCAUGCCUUUUUACUGUAGAAAUAAAGAUGAAAAAUCUCAAUCCCAUUAACUAAAGAUGAUUAGAGUUAAAACAUUUUGGUGUAUAAUUCUUUAUAAAAUAACCUUUUAAAUCCAACUGAUUUGGAGUAGCGUUGGGGGUGCUUAGGAAAUAAGGAGUAGAUAAUAAGAUAGUAUGGAGUAGAUACAUAAUUGUAAUUCCCCCUCGAGUUUUGAGAGCUACUUACCCAAAAUAGAGCAUGACACGGUUUCGCCUCCAAACAGAAUUUCCGUAUGAAAGAUUGAACCGCUUUGUGCUUGAAUCACUGUGAAUGUUGUUGCUGCUAGUUCUUUCUGUGAUGUGAAUAGAAUUUUGUUAGAUAAGUUGUCAGUGUAUUAUUUUCCCUUUAAAAAAAAAAACUUCUUUUUUAGCUGUUACAGAUUUCUUAGAUUUUUAUAUAGAAAUAUUUUCUAAAAUGUUUUUUACAAAAAUAAAAUGAAAAUUGUGCCUGUUGUGCUGCAUGUGCUUUCAAGUUAGAAUCAGUCAUUGACAUAUUAAUGGCUUCUUCCAGGUUGGAAAAUUACUAAAGAUUAUUCUUUUACUUGAAGGAAGUGAUAAGAGAAGUAGAAAGAAAAUCAGGCUGAGAUUAACUAAGGAUGCAGGCUUUUUAUUCUACUUUCAGCCAUUUAGAAGGGGGAAACAAUCCAGAGUUUUUAAUAAGAAAACGAAAAGUUGUUUUGCAUUCUGGAAUAUUUCCAAAAGCAUUGCUAUUGAUGUUGAAUUCCACUUUGGGUUUGGAGAUUAGGAAAUUUUUGUAAGUGUUGAAGUAAAAUUAGUUGUUCUUUGUAUUAUUUUUUAUUUGACAGUGUACAAAUAAUGAAACUGUAAACUAAAGUACAAUGACAUAAUCACAGAAAUGAUCAUAAAAAUGGUUAUUUAACUUGAAGUGGGAUUGAAUAUUCAAAAAAGUGCAGGUGGUAUGGAUGGGCUUCUGGGUGAAAUUAGGUUUUCUCUUUCAGCAGGAAAAAAGACAGAGUUUUCAUUAUACUCCUUGCCAUUGGUGAUAGGGUGUAGACCUGUAAUGAUAACAAGCACUCAACAUCUUCAUUGAAAAGCACCAGCAAGAUGCAGAGCAGAAGCUGUAAACUUCACAAGUGCCAUCAAAUCAGACUGUUUCUUCAAGGUUGAAUGGAAAAUUUCAGAUGUUGGUCAUGAAAUGUUUACUGUGUGACCCAAAACCAAGUUAGCAGGCCUCCAAGAGAGGUGCUUGCUCUUGGAUUUGAAAUAGUAGCCAUAGUAAUAACUUCUCUGUGUAAGCCCUGUAAUUUUGUGUAUUCCAUCAUUCUCUCUGGAUUUAGUGGUUCUGAGAAAGCAAACUUAGACCUUGGGCCAAGACUUCACACAGAAAUAUUUGGGGAUCCUCUCUAUGGUUCUCCGGGUUUGGGCCUCAGUUUCCCCAUUUUUCAGCUUUUGUGGAUUCUGAUUAUUCUCCCCACUUGAUGUGCAUUGUGUGUUUGCAUGUGUGUGUGUAUGUGUUUCUAGAUAUGUCUGUGAAUUUUGGGGUGUAUUUUUUAAAUGCUUUGCUUGUAUUUUUAAUGUUGCUAAUAAAAUACUAGCUACAUGAUUUUGAGGGCUUGGCACCUCUUGACUAGGUAACAGUACUGUGCCAAACUCUUUACAUGUUUAUCUUUUUCUCAUAAUAACCUGAUGUGGGUGGACGUCCUAUUUUUUACAAAUGAGAAAACUGAGGCUCUAAAAUUAAGUAACUUCCUCCACUAAUAAGGAAGGCAGGAAGUAAGGCUGGAUUUCAUGCCUGCCAGAUUCCAUAGUCUGUGGACUAAGCAACUGUGUGACUUGCUUUACUUAACAUUCUGGGCCCGUUUUCUUCAGCCGAUGCCCAGGGAAGUGAAGUAAACUGACCAAGUUGACACAGUUAGUAAGGAAUGCUCAGAGCCAGUGUUCCUUUCUGUCUCCAGACUGCUUCCAUGGAAUUCUUGCUCUGGGCUUGGCAGUUCCAUUGUGGUUCAGAAGGAUGGAUCUAAGAGCAAGAUGACAUUGUGAUGUCAACUAACCUUCCAGAGAGUGGUCCAAGGUGUAAUAGGGCCCUCCUCGCUCUUUCCCCUCGAAAUAGCCAUGCCCCCUUUCCUUAACUUUGGAGCCCACAACACUUAAGAUUAGCUGACAUUUAAUAUGUGUGCCUGCUAGAUUCCAGGCUCUUUUUAUAUCCUAUCUAUUCUUUAUGUCCAACUGCUUGGGAAGUAAUCUUAUUCCCUUUUUGCAGCUGGGGCAACUGAGCUUUGGAAAGGCUGGUCUGGCCAAUGGACAGCUAAGGUCUUUCUGAUGCCAAAGCCCAUUUUUGGUACACCAUAUCAUCUGCUUCUGAGAAAAAAAGUCUAGAAGUGGAAGGAGGUUUGUUUGUACUUUCAGGAAUAUCCCAGAGAAUCGUAGAAUUGGGUUCAGUAUAUUCUUCAUGGCUUCACAUAAAAUUUUCAGUUUGGGGCAUUUUUAUAGGUUUAAGAAUGAUUAUAUGUAAAAACAGGCAAAAUUUCCAGAAGGCAACAAAAAAUAAAUGAUAGAACCCUGUCUUCUGUCCCUUUCCCCAUAGAGAUACCUACACACAUUUAAACUGGGAAGGGAAACAAUGAUCCAUCGUAAAGCUUACCCAUAAGACAAAUUGCCUUUGGCAAUACAAACCUUAAAUGCUCAUGAAGGCCUCACAUGAGUUAAGUACAGUUUAACAUGAUUCUGCCAUUUGAACACCUACUAUGUGCCUGGUUUUUGGUAGAUGACUGAGGGAAGGGUAACAGAAUGAAUUAGACCUGCUUUCUGUCCCAAAGAUGUUCACAGGUGAAUGGGGUGGUGGUUGUGGGGUGCCAGGUUAGCUGCAAUAUAGCAUAGACCGGUCAGAGCUGUGAUAAUUCAGAUUGCUCUGAGAGCACACAUGAGGUCACGACUGGUUCCAACUGGAGAACUCUUACAAGGUCCUUUCAGACCUAGACCCGAGGGAUAGAUGGGUAGAACAUUCCAGGCAGAGGACACCUUUUGAGCAAAGACCUAGGGUGAGAAAAUGCAAAGUGGAAUGGAGACUCUCAUUAGAUGGGUAGUACUGUUUCAUGCUUAUUCAGUUUGGUUUGAUGAAGCAAUCUCUCUCUCUCACUGUCUUUGUGGGUGUGUGUACAGUACACGUGUGUCUUUCUCUGUUAAAUGCCAUUUAUGUUUUGUUGGGGACGUGUGUGGGAGUGAUUCAUUUCCAGCUGGGUCCAGCUGUAAUGAAAAUAUCCUGUUUGACAAAUUCAGGAAUUAAACUACAACCAUCUCUCCCUGAAAGCUAUGACACUAGCUGUAACAUCAAACAUCCCUUCCUUUGUGGGGCAGGACAGGAGGGAAAUGGUGAUUCAGGGCUGCUGGAUGUGUUGACUAGAAAAUUAUUUGAGUAAAUAAGACUGUGUUGCUCCAGUUAAUUAAUAAACAUGGCUUCUCACUGAGCCAUGUGGUUUUCCUCCAAGGAGAACUUAGAAUGGUGCCAUCUGAGGCUGCCCUAGUAGAGAAGUGCAACACGUCAUAAGUGGUCAAAACAUUUUUUUUUUUUGAAAUGGAGUCUCGCUGUCGCCCAGGCUGGAGUGCAGUGGCGCUAUCUCGGCUCACUGCAGGCUCUGCCCCCUGGGGUUCACGCCAUUUUCCUGCCUCAGCCUCCGGAGUAGCUGGGACUACAGGCGCCUGCCACCUCACCCGGCUAAUUUUUUGUAUUUUUAGUAGAGACGGGGUUUCACCAUGUUAGCCAGGAUGGUCUCGAUCUCCUGACCUUGUGAUCCGCCCGCCUCGGCCUCCCAAAGUGCUGGGAUUACAGGCAUGAGCCACCGCGCCCGGCCAAAACAUUUUUAUUGGAAGUAAUGCAUCUGUGUGAUUUUCUAUUUAGUCCCUAUUUCAGAGCUCUUUUUUUUUUUCUUAAAAUGUAAAAUACUCUCAACCUUAGCUUGAGAAUACCUGAAGUUUUUAGUUGGACAUUUAUUAUGAGCCAGUAACAUAUGUGCACAGGAGAUCUGGAGGAGAGCAGUAUCACUUGUGGAACUUUGAGCGAGUUGUAUAGCCACCCACCCAUGCCACUUUCUACAUCUGUAGAACUGUAGAUUUGGACCAGCUGACCUCCAAGAUCCUCUUAAUAGCUCUUGGGAAAUGGAAUGAAUAAAUCCAAGAUCCUGGAUCCGUGCUCUACCCUUUGGUAAUACUUAGAAUGUAGCAACUAUGCAAGUUCUCACAGUCUUAAAUGAAAAGAGCCAAGCCAAAGCUGAAGCUUCGUUGUAUCGUCAUCAAGGGAGGUUCCCACCCCAUGUCUUUUCCACAACUGGAUGCCAUGUUUUGAGAGGAGCAACAGAGACCAGGAUGGAAACAGAACUGGAAAACUUGUUUAGUUGAGUGGCGUAGUGAACUGCUGUGUCACUCAGAGAUGAGGCAGCAGCAGGGGUUGAGGGCCAAGGCUGGAUUUUGAACAGUUGGAGGGUUCUCAUACCCCAAGUGUUAAAUCCAGUGUGAGGAAGAGCCACCCACCAUCUGGUCAGGAGCAAAAUGAAGUGCCUCUGAGGAACAAAGGCUUCAGUGGAACCAUUCCAGCAGGUAUCAUAUUCUGACCAUUAGAAAUUUGAUUAAGGGAAGUGUUACCCUAUAUUUCCUGCUAGUCUAGGAGGUCUGACCUUUAACAACCAUAAAAAUAUAUACUGAGGCCAGAUGUGAUGGCCCAUGUCUGUAAUCCCAACACUUUGGGAGGCUGAGGUAGGAGGCUUGCUUGAGGCCAGAAGUUUGAGACCAACCUGAGCAACAUAGGGAGACCACCAUCUCUACAAAAAAUAAAAAAAUAAAAAUUAGUUGAGCAUGGUGGCAUGUGCCUGUAGUCCUAGCCACUCGGGAGGCUGUGAGGUGGGAGGAUUGCUUGAGCCCAGGAGUUCAAGGCUGCAGUGAGCUAUGAUCACACCACUGUACUCCAGUGCACUCCAACCUGUGCGACAGAGGAGACCUUGUCUCUAAAGAAAAAAAAAAUAAACUAAGCCAUAACUAAUUAAUUGGGUUUUUACAGCUUUUUGUCUUAAAACUGCCCACAUCUCUCAUGGAAAUAAUAUGGUGCAGUAUUGUAUGGCCAAGGUGUUGUGUUUGUGUGGAGGGCCUACCACAGGGGGCAGAUGAUCAGAACUUACUUCUACUCAGCAAAAUUUAAAUACUUUAUUUUUCCUCCCUCAUCCUGAAAUUAAUACAGGUUUAUUGUAACAAAAGUAGUAUAAAGGUUGUCACCUACACCUUCACUGCUUUUAAGACUAUUGACUACUGUAUUAUAUGUCACAGUGGUUAAGAGCAUAGUCUUUGGUCUCUUGGCCCUGGUUUUGAAACUCUUGUGGCACUACAUACUAAUUAUAUGAACUUGCUCAAGCCUCUUUUUUUUGUCCACCAGUCGUGGUCAUUUCCUCAUUUAGUACCAGUUUCACAGAAUUGUUAUGAUGAUAGGGGAGAAAUGCAUGUAGAAUACUUACCACAGUGGCCACCAGAGUUCAAGUGCUCAGUAAAUGUUAGACAGCUGCAGUAGUGGUGCUAGAAGUAGAAGAUAAUAAAACUCAUUGUGUAUUUUUUUUUUUUUUGCAAAAGUGGGAUCCUGUUAAAUCACCUGUCUUAAAAACUGCCAUUUCCUUUUAUAUUGAGCAUUUCUCCAUGUCAUUAGUCUCCCAAACCAUCAUUUAAAAAAUAGCUUUAUUGGUGCUUAAUUCACAUAACAUACUUCAUCCAUUUGAAGUAUACAGUGCAGUGGUUUUUAACUAUAUUCAGAGUUACACAGUAAAUUUUAGAACAUUUUUAUCAUGCAAAAGGAAGUCCUGUACCUGUCAGAGUCACUCCUCAUUUUCCUCCAAAUCCUUUACUAAUCUACUUUCUGUUUCUGUGGAUUUGCUUAUUCUGGACAUUUCCAAGCCAUACUUUUUAAUGGCUGCACAAUAUUCUGUUAUGUGGAUAUACCUUGCUUUAGCAGCUGUUCCACUGCUAUUGGAAAUUUAAUUUAUUUUCAUGAUUAUAGGAAAUAUUUAUAUUAAUCUUCUUUACCCAUCUCAGUAGAGUCACCUGAGAGUCUUAAUGAAGAUUCUUCCAUGUUACUUAAGAAGUAACAUAAAAUCUUCACCUGUGGUCUUACAUGCCUGCGCUGUGAGAUGUUCCUGAAGAGCUUCAGGCUCCUGGAGCUGCUAUCACACCAUAACAAGGUCCCUAACACUGGAGCCAAAGCUCUGGUAAUACCCUACACUGAGGUCCAGUUGGAGCUGUUCAGGGAAUAACAGUAGCAGCUUGCCCAACAAUUUUGGUACAACAGUUCGGUGGUAGAGGAUGAGUGACUUAUUUGAGCAGAGCCAUUGGAAGACAGACAGGGCCAUAGUAUCACCAGCUGUUCACGUAGUGCCGCAAGACUCAAAUCCGAAGACAACUCUUAGAGGAACUGGAGUGCAGGGAGAAUUAUUCAUUACAUCUGCUCAGAAAGAAAGAGUGCCCUACCAACACCUUGUUUGCAAAUUGAAAUUCCUUUGCUCUUGGCAUGUGAUCAUCCUGCCAACUCCGUGAAAGCUCCCUUAGCUACUCAAAUGCUGCCUCCUGGGGGCAUUCAUCCAGUUAUUCAUAUCUAAAUCAUGGUGCUCUGAUGUGGAUUGACCUGGGGAGGGGAAGGAAUAGCCACAGUGGGUCUGGUGUGCCAGAAUCUGAAAGGCUAAAUUAAGAUGACUUGUGAAAUAAAGGGAUCCUGAAGAAAUAGGCCACUGAUUGUCUCUGAAUAUAUUCUGUAAGGUCAUUUUCAAUUCUCAGGGCUGGGAAGCACAAGUGUGGAGAGAAGCAUUAAGUUCAUGCUUUGCUUUUAAAUGUUGGGAUUCUCAUAGAAGAAUCUGUUUCUGCUCAUUUGCUGUCUGGCUAUCUUAAUGUGUUCAAGUGUAGAACACUUGAACAUUUGCAUUUAUUUGUUGUUGCUGGUGUUUUCUCUACUCUUUGUUGGCCUCCAGAUGGACACACUGUUAAUUUUUUUUGACUAGCAUGGAGCGAGCUGUUUAAGCUUUUUUCAGGGGAAAUAAAAAUGAAAGUUGUUGCAACAGACAGCAUUAGGAGAUAUACCUAAUGCUAAAUGACGAGUUAAUGGGUGCAGGAAAUCAACAUGGCACAUGGAUACAUAUGUAACAAACCUGCACAUUGUGCACAUGUACCCUAAAACCUAAAGUAAAAUAAAUAAAUAAAGAAAGAAAGAAAGAAAGAAAGAAAGAAAGAAAGAAAGAAAGAAAGAAAGAAAGUUGUUGCAACAGGAGUUCAGCAGUGUUGCACCAACUACCAUUCCAGCACAUCCAGUCUGUUCAUGGUGUGUAUUGAAACUUGUAUUUUAUUUGGGGUGGAAAUUGUUUGAGGCAUUUCAACUUGUUUGUGCUUAAAUUGGGGAUCCUAUUGCAGCACUGAUGUUUUAUAAAAGUAGUAGAAAAGUGUGGACCUUACAUUGCAGGCAGGUGAAUUCACAGGCUUUGCAAGUAGGUGCAUGAGUACUGUAAUCAUGCUAGUAGACUUGUAAAAGCAAACUCAUGUUCUUUUGUACGUGAGCAUGCUGGGACUUCUCUCAUUUGUCAGUCUCCAGCAGUAAGGAUAUGCACUGGGAAGUCAGCAGUGAGGCACUGCAUUGAGAGUGAGGCAUAUCACAUGCCGCCACCUCCUUAAAGCCUUCUCUGAUUUCCAGCAACCCUCUACUACCUACAACUAUAGAUGGUGGUUAAGGACACAUGCUGUGGUGUCAAAAAGACCUAGGUUCCUAAGCCAGCUCCGCUACGGCAGUUUACUUAAAUUUUCUCCAUUUUCUCAUUUGUGAAUUGGGGAUAAUGAUAGUACUUAAAACAUCAUUGUGAAGACAGUAGAAAAUUUCAUGUAAGGUGCAUAACUUACCACCGUUUCUGGCAUAUUUAGUACUUCCUAAAGCUUGUGAUUACUGUUACUAAUCACAUGUUUUGUGGUCUCUUCUCGGAGCCUCAGUUUUGUCAUCCGCAAUAUAAGAACAAAAACAUCUAUCUCAACAGCAGUUUAUAAGAAGUAGGAGAGACAGUGCUGGAAAAGCAUUUAGCCCUGCCCUAACUUAGUCACUUGGCAUUUCAGCAUGUGGUGGUUAAUAUAGUUAUAACACUUCAUUCUGUUCUAUGUAUGGUAACUAGUUGUUUACGUAUUAGUGUCUCUCUAAACUGUAAAUAGAGGCUAUGCUUUCAUCUUUGUAUAUCCCAAACGCCUUCCUCAACGCAAUAGCUGAUCGACAAAUAGUCAUUCAGACAGGUGUGUUUGAACUUUUAGAUCACAUAGUUUAAGAACAGGUGUCUCUUACUUUGCUUAUAGAGUGAACAAAAUAUGAUAAGUGCUACAGAUGUCUUUUUCUUAACAAGGAUACUUGUGUGGUUACCAAAUUCACACGAGGUACACGAGGCAAGCAUAGUGCAGCACUCGUCUUUUCUCACUGUGCACUGUUUGAAGUUGGCUCCAGUGCUAGAAAUCUGUAUUACCUGAGCAAAUGUUUAGGAAUUCUCUUUGCUUUUGAAUACUUUGAAAGAAAGGAAUUCUUUCUCCAAUUUGUUCAGCCCUCCUCCCAGUUAAAAAGAAACUACCAUAUUUGACCCCAAGAAAGAGUUAAAUGUGAACUCAUCUGAGUUUUCAGAAAAGCAAAGGUUGAAAGCUCACACAUUAAUUAUUAUUGCUGCUAUUCUCCCUCUUCUCUUCUGCCCCCCAGAAUUUGUCAGUGGAAUUUUGGUCCCUAAAUGUAUAGGAAUGUUUGGGUUAGGGUAGGACACACCCCACCUCUGGAAGGGCCUGCAAGCAGGGCUGCCGGUGAGCAGCCAGGGUUCUGGGUUUUGGGGGUUCCUUGUUCUCAGUCACCUUUGCUUGGCUUUUGCAGAGCUCAGGGUUACCAGGCAGACUGUCUACAGCCUCUCCUGCUUCUUGCACCAGAUGCUCAUGCACUCUGCCACUAGCUGAGGAUGCAAGGGUGUGCUUUUGCUUUUCAAAAGAGGUGCUGUAAAAAAUGAGUGCAUAGUUAGGAUGUGGGCCAUGUGAAUGUUCAUUACAAGAAUCUUAAGUGUCUGGGUAAAACAGAUGAAGUUGUAAGUACCACUGAAAUUUCCUAGCCCUAUUCAUGUGUCCAUGGACUUGGAGGCCUCACAUUUUAAUGGAUUUUACGAAUUAUGCUUCCUAAAUUGUUGCACAGUUAUAUUAGGAUAUAAUUAAUUGCCUUGAACACAUCUGAGUCAUCCACUGCAUGUGUUGUCAGUUCUUGGUUAUUUGAUGUCCUUAUUCUAAGUACUUCCCCAAGUCAGUUUGCCUCACUGUGCCUUAAUUUCCUUUUCUGUAGAGCAAAGGGGUCAGACUUAGAUCAUCUUUAAACCUUUUAAAAAAUUACUUCUUUGCAAGUGGAUACUGCUCUCCAGUUGGUUAAUAAUAUUCAACCUUUUCAUCCCUACCUGCUUCCAAGACAGCCUUAGACAGUUUCGGCCAUACUCCCAGACCUGCUGUUUCCUUACUCAUGAUGUUUACCUUCUCAUUUCAUUUUGUUAAAAGGGAAGUGAGCCUAACAUUUCUGGAAGCUCAGUAAAGGUUAACAGCCAAUCAGCCAAAGAAGUGGGGUUGAGUCAUGAUGCUUCUGGCAGGACCAGGGAGGCCCUGCCAGAACCAUCCAGAUCUUCCUGAUUAGAAACUCACAGGUGCUUUACAGAAAGUUGGCUUCUACUGAUUUGAUGAUUGAUUCAGAGGGUUUGGGUUAGUUGGUAUCUAACAGAGCUGGCAGGGAAGGAGAGGGGUGGCCCAAUACAUUUUGAGCCCCUGGAGGAAUAGGGUGAUAACUGAGGGAGUAGUAUUGUUGGGAAGCCCUGGCAGCUCUGGGAGCCAUGGGGCAAGAAAGGACAAUUGCUCCUGCAUCUGCAUCUUUUUGUUUCUGGGUAUUUAUUUACAGAUAAGUGUUUUUUUUAAUGCCUGGUAAUCUAUUAGGCAGUAGGAUACAAAGAUGGCCUCAAGGAUGUCUCUCAAGGCUAGAGGGUGGAUGCUUAUUGUUUAUCAAACAUCUGCUGAGUGCCUAGCAUUGUGUUAUGGGCCUUACAUAAUGUGCCUAAUUUUAAUAUAGUAUGAUAAAUACUUUGCAAGUGAUGUCUGCAAAGGACUAUGGGACCAUAGAGGAGUGGAGGCUGCAUUCUGGCAGGAAAUGGGAAUUAGGGGGAACAGACAGUAGAGGGAGGUAGGAGGAGUCAAAAACGGUUUUUCACAUGAGAUAGAGCUCUCAGCUCUUCUGCAGAUGGCAUUGGAAAUGUGGUCACUUUCUUAUCCAACAUGACAAGGGACUGGCAGGUGGAAAACUGUGCCUUGAAAUGACAUUUGUCUGAUAGAGCUAGGUCAGUUUAAUGCUGCCUUUCCCUUGUCUGAUAGUGUUGGUUACAGUUUUAAAGGCUUAUUUGUUCUUUUCAGAAAAGUGGUUAAAGAAAGUAUGUUCCAUCUUGUUUCUUUACACUGGUGUUUAAAAACAUCAAGAGUUUCUGUGCCUCCUUCUCACAUCCCUAAAUGAGUGUCCAGUCCGUAAUGUUCAGGCUUGAAUAGAACGGCGGAGCAGUCCAUUUGCCUCAGCAUUAGGAAUAUUGUCCUCCCCAGGCACAUGGUGAUGAUCCAGAACAGAGUCUUAGUACUACCAUGCCAUCAACAGGAGCAGUUGCUUUUGUUUAGAUACAACAGUUUCCUUCCAUUUCUGUGCAGUAGUUGUCUGUAGUGACCGGAGCACUGUCUUCACUCCAGCAGAUGCACUGAUAAUUUCAUUGCAUUGCCCAUUCUGGUCUUUUUCUCAUCCAGUUUGAUUCCACAAAUGCCUAGUGCUUCACGAAGCCUGGAUAGAACUGGUCCUAUGGGUGUUUUGUUAGCAAGUUCCAUCCGACACAUGGACUUCCUUCUCUUUCUCAAAGCCUUCUGUGUCUCCCUGGCCUGGAAAUGAUCUUUUCCCACUGCUCUACGUUGCAGGUCUUUGUAUAUCUCUCUUUGCUCUUACCACAUUUUGCCCUUUGUUAGUUAUACAUAUGUGCAUCCUGUCUCUCCUACCAGGUUGUAAACUCACUUAGGUAAGGACUGUGUUCUAUACAUGCUUCACAAUCCCUAGCAUGAGGAUUUGCCAUAAUAAGCACUAAAUAAAUAUUUGUUGAAUGGAACUGAAUCCAGAUAGCAUUAUAUUGAACUGAGUCCUCAUCAUUAAGUACAAAGGAAUUGUUAGAAGGUCAGUAAUGUUUACUUUGCCUAUCUGAUUCCUAGUCCCCAGUUCUGUAUUUAAUUACUUAAGAUAUAUGUGCCAUCUGCAGCCUGACGGAUUUGGCAGCCAGCAAUUGAAAUACAAGGUAAAGUGAGGCAGUUUGGGAUAAGAUCAAUGUAAUACCUCUCUGUAGGAGACAGUGGGGACUUAAGACACCUGAUAUCGGCAGAUUGCAGUAACUCCGUAAUUUAUUUGCAUCUAAGAGAAGGAAUCAUGUUUAGUUACAGCAUUUUCAUUUUUUUUUUUUUUACCACAGAUGGCAUAAAAUUCAUCUCCAGAGAGAGAGACUUCUAACUAAACCUGAGUAUGAAUUUUUAUCUCUCAGUUUCUUAUGCAAUUUGUCACUGCAUACCUACAUAGCCUUCUUUUGGAAGUUGUUUUAUUGACUUUUAAAUUUUGCUUUUGUGUGUUUUACUUGCUGCUUCUCUUGUCUUCUCCCCAGCUGAUUUUUCUUAAUAAAAAAUCUCUAGACAUGAAGAACCGUGGCAGCACAGUAGCAUCUUCAUUACAACAUUUAUGAUGUGCGUUCCCAGCUCAGCACUUUGCAAUGCAUAUUUGCAAAGCAAGUUUAAUUUGCUAGAAGUCAGAUUGAGAUUUAGCAUCUUAUCUUUUUACCAUCUGUUACAUGCCAGGUAUAGUGCUGGACACUUGCACACUUAUUAUUUCGUUUUAUCAUAGAAAAUUAAAAGAGAAAA